rnacentral:rRNA from 1 species
GAUGAACGCUGGCGGCGUGCUUAACACAUGCAAGUCGAACGAAGCACUUUCUUUAGAUUCUUCGGAUGAAGAAGAUUGUGACUGAGUGGCGGACGGGUGAGUAACGCGUGGGUAACCUGCCUCAUACAGGGGGAUAACAGUUAGAAAUGACUGCUAAUACCGCAUAAGCGCACAGCUUCGCAUGAAGCGGUGUGAAAAACUCCGGUGGUAUGAGAUGGACCCACGUCUGAUUAGGUAGUUGGUGGGGUAACGGCCUACCAAGCCGACGAUCAGUAGCCGGCCUGAGAGGGUGGACGGCCACAUUGGGACUGGGACACGGCCCAAACUCCUACGGGAGGCAGCAGUGGGGAAUAUUGCACAAUGGGGGAAACCCUGAUGCAGCGACGCCGCGUGAAGGAAGAAGUAUUUCGGUAUGUAAACUUCUAUCAGCAGGGAAGAAAAUGACGGUACCUGACUAAGAAGCCCCGGCUAACUACGUGCCAGCAGCCGCGGUAAUACGUAGGGGGCAAGCGUUAUCCGGAUUUACUGGGUGUAAAGGGAGCGUAGACGGAUGUGCAAGCCAGAUGUGAAAACCCGGGGCUCAACCCCGGGACUGCAUUUGGAACUGUGCAUCUAGAGUGCUGGAGAGGUAAGUGGAAUUCCUAGUGUAGCGGUGAAACGCGUAGAUAUUAGGAGGAACACCAGUGGCGAAGGCGGCUUACUGGACAGUAACUGACGUUGAGGCUCGAAAGCGUGGGGAGCAAACAGGAUUAGAUACCCUGGUAGUCC